AGUGGCAAGCAUUAUGGACCAAUAGAAUAUGUUCUUCGUGAUACAAUAGCGUAGUAUAGGAAUAUCAUUAAUUCAUCAUACAGGCAACAUAAAGCCCUUACCUCUUCAUGUAUAAAUAGAGAUCUAACCUCCUCAACUUCAGCACAUCACAACACACUUACUACUCAAACUUACUACACACCAAGUUUCCAUCAACCACUUUCUAAGCUAAGAAAAUGGCUCAGGCAAUCGCCAAGAACCAAAUUGUUGCCAAGUACGGACCCUAUGGUUCACAAUUGCCAGAAAACUACUGCAUGGUACUCCAAAA